UACGUAGGCAGCAAGCGUUAUCCGGAUUCACUGGGUUUAAAGGGUGCGUAGGUGGAAUGACAAGUCAGUGGUGAAAACCUGCAGCUUAACUGUAGAACUGCCAUUGAUACUGUUAUUCUUGAGUACAUUUGAUGUGAGUGGAAUGUGUCGUGUAGCGGUGAAAUGCUUAGAUAUGACACAGAACACCAAUUGCGAAGGCAGCUCACAAAACUGUAACUGACACUGAGGCACGAAAGCGUGGGGAUCAAACAGG
rnacentral:rRNA from 1 species